rnacentral:rRNA from 1 species
UACGUAGGGUGCGAGCGUUACUCGGAAUUACUGGGCGUAAAGCGUGCGCAGGCGGUUUUGUAAGCCAGAUGUGAAAUCCCCGAGCUUAACUUGGGAACUGCAUUUGGGACUGCAAGGCUAGAGUACGGCAGAGGGGGGUAGAAUUCCUGGUGUAGCAGUGAAAUGCGUAGAUAUCAGGAGGAAUACCGAUGGCGAAGGCAGCCCCCUGGGUCGAUACUGACGCUCAUGCACGAAAGCGUGGGGAGCAAACAGG